AGCUUUGUGCAGUGGAAACAUCGUAGCCAAUGAGGUUUUUCCGAGGUGAGAUUACUGCUAAUUGAAAGCUGAGGCCAACAGGGGUAAUAACGCUGCCCACAUUCAAAUGGUGUGUAAUUGGUAGAAGCGGCAUUUGAACCCAGGCCC